GCCUUUCGUGGAGAGGACUGGAGCUCGGGCUGCUGGUGACAGCCCGGCUGGGGGGCGUCUGUGUGUCGCAGACGCAGGCCU
rnacentral:tRNA from 1 species